rnacentral:piRNA from 1 species
UCAUUUGUCACAAAAGAGAGGGAGUACGUAU